rnacentral:lncRNA from 1 species
GAUAGCUUUGGCUUCUGCAGUUGUGCAGGAUCCUUGAAAAGCAGUGUUCAGCUUUUUUGGUUUUGUGUGGUUUUGCCUUUCUUCGCUCUCUUGGUUUGCUGUCAGCACCAGGGCUGCUGGUGAGCUGGGUGGUGGUGGUGGUGGUGAGCCAAGCUGAUGAGCAAAAUCACUUUGUACCAACUUCAGGGCAACUGUUCCCAAAUUGUCUCCCAGUGGCUGUUCUGUGUGGGACCAAAACCAGUUCCCAGCCAGAGCCAGCAGCAGCAGGAGAUUUAAAGCCAGGAGGAAGCAGCCUCUGUUUGGGGAUGCUCAGAGACAGGCCGUGGGUUUAGCAGCCCUUGGUACAUCUCCUCCUGCCCUCCUCCUUGAUUUGUUCCUUUCUGUGUCAGCUCCCCUGAGGGCUGUGGUGCUUCUGGCUGCCGGAUUCAGUCAUUGUGUGGUUAACCGGCGUGGUGCUUAAGCAAGCGUGAAAAACAGGAUGUCUUAAAGUAUGAGAUGUGAAAGGUGGCAUGAAUACCAUCAGCCCAAACAUCCCUGGAGAAAGGACAGGACCCAUGUCUGGCACGUGCCACCUGGGUUUACAUGAAAAGCAGCACAAGGCACUUGCCACAGCACCUCUGAUGUGCAGAGGGUGAUGUGUCCAUACCCAAGACAUCACAGGACCCAGGGGUGAACCUUGAAUUGAGGUACAUGCCCAGACAUCAGGGGUUAUGCAGAAUUUCCAGUCCACACCACUACCUGGGCUGACGGACUGCAUGGAGAAGACCUUGCACCUGAGCUGCAGAGGGUCUGGAAAUGGUCGGUGCUGACAGCCAGGUCAUCCCCCAGGUUGGAUUUUCUUUACCAGCGUGGCCUUUGCAGGAGCCAGGAGGAACACACAGGCCAUGGAAUGGGGCAUGGUGUGACAACAGGAUGGAUGUCCCUGCUUCCUCUGCGGAGGUUAUGAAGGGCAGAAGCUGGAUCAUCCAGCUCUCCCAGAUGUGACUUUUCCAGGAUGCUGGAGUCUUCUUCAGGACACUUCCUCUCUCGCCAAACCAUACCUUCCUAAGGACACCUCAGAUUUGAUACAUCACUUCCUAUCUUUUAAACAGAUGUUAAUAUCCAAAAAGAUUUUCCUUUCUAUUCCGACUGGUGAAGCAUGGUUUCUUCCUG